GGGGAAUAUUGGACAAUGGGCGCAAGCCUGAUCCAGCCAUGCCGCGUGAGUGAUGAAGGCCUUAGGGUUGUAAAGCUCUUUCGGCGGGGAAGAUAAUGACGGUACCCGCAGAAGAAGCUCCGGCUAACUUCGUGCCAGCAGCCGCGGUAAUACGAAGGGGGCUAGCGUUGUUCGGAAUCACUGGGCGUAAAGCGCACGUAGGCGGACGUUUAAGUCAGGGGUGAAAUCCCAGGGCUCAACCCUGGAACUGCCCUUGAUACUGGACGUCUCGAGUCCCGGAGAGGUGAGUGGAACUCCGAGUGUAGAGGUGAAAUUCGUAGAUAUUCGGAAGAACACCAGUGGCGAAGGCGGCUCACUGGCCCGGUACUGACGCUGAGGUGCGAAAGCGUGGGGAGCAAA
rnacentral:rRNA from 1 species